UACGUAGGGUGCGAGCGUUGUCCGGAAUUAUUGGGCGUAAAGAGCUUGUAGGCGGUUUGUCGCGUCUGCCGUGAAAAUUCGAGGCUCAACCUCGAACUUGCGGUGGGUACGGGCAGACUAGAGUGUGGUAGGGGAGACUGGAAUUCCUGGUGUAGCGGUGAAAUGCGCAGAUAUCAGGAGGAACACCGGUGGCGAAGGCGGCUUCCUGGACCGACACUGACGCUGAGGCGCGAAAGCUAGGGGAGCAAACGGG
rnacentral:rRNA from 1 species